UGGGGAAUAUUGGACAAUGGGCGAAAGCCUGAUCCAGCCAUGCCGCGUGUGUGAAGAAGGUCUUCGGAUUGUAAAGCACUUUAAGUUGGGAGGAAGGGCAGUAAGCGAAUACCUUGCUGUUUUGACGUUACCGACAGAAUAAGCACCGGCUAACUCUGUGCCAGCAGCCGCGGUAAUACAGAGGGUGCAAGCGUUAAUCGGAAUUACUGGGCGUAAAGCGCGCGUAGGUGGUUCGUUAAGUUGAAUGUGAAAGCCCCGGGCUCAACCUGGGAACUGCAUCCAAAACUGGCGAGCUAGAGUAGGGCAGAGGGUGGUGGAAUUUCCUGUGUAGCGGUGAAAUGCGUAGAUAUAGGAAGGAACACCAGUGGCGAAGGCGACCACCUGGGCUCAUACUGACCCUGAGGUGCGAAAGCGUGGGGAGCAAACAGG
rnacentral:rRNA from 1 species